GCUCCGUUAGCUCAAUGGUAGAGCACCUGACUUUUAAUCAGGUGGUUAGGGGUUCGAGUCCCCCGCGGGGCAC
rnacentral:tRNA from 1 species